rnacentral:tRNA from 1 species
GCCGGUGUGGUGAAAUUGGUAUACACGACGGAUUCAAAAUCCGUUGCCUUCGGGCAUGGCGGUUCAAGUCCGCCCGCCGGUACCA